CUGGGAAACAGGUCCUGCCUUUCAGCCCUGAUAGCCCAUGGCCAUUGCCUCAUGGCGUCUUUGGGAACUGCAGAACUAAUGCAGUCCCCAGUCAGCAUCUCUUCACUAUCUUCAAGGAAGAGGGUAGUGACCUCACCGUGACUUUCUAACCCCCUCUGUAAUCCCGCCUGCUUUUCCAGCCUUCUCAACUAUUACUCCUCCUUGUCCCCAUCCUACCUCUGACUUUGGUGCAGGACUCUCUGGUGACAUUAGAUGCUCCAGAGCCAAGGGGGAGCCAGCAGCUCCUGGGAGGGUCAGACUGACCCAGAAAACCCACUGAGGGGGCAGAGGCUGGGCCAGGCCACAUUCCAAGCAAUAUUCAGAAAGCCAGACAGAAACUUUGACCCUAAAGACCAAUCUGGAGAAGGGGCCAAACAGACAGAAGAGGCAGGGGAGGAUGGGCUGGGAGGCCUCAGCCUCAGGUGUUCCUUUCGCUCUUUGCUGGCCCACAGGUGUGACCACCACGGGUCUCUCUGCCCGCUGAGGUCACGAUGCAUUCAUUCUGCUCAUGUGGCUUGCUGGAGUGCCUUCCCUCCCUCGGUGGGCCAGCUCAUCCUCCAGCCUGCAGGAACCUGCCGCCGCCGCUGCAUUGUCACAUGCCUGCCAGGUGUCAGAGGCUGGGCUUUGCUCCUCGCUAACUCAGAGAGCGCGAGGCAGACCCCCAGUCUCCAGCCUGCACUCAAGGUGACCUACAUCUUCCAGUGGAAAACGCACCCCCUUCUUCCCCAGGAGCCCUUGUCUUCCACCAAGAAGCUGCUGUGCAGGUCCCCCUGGCAAAUGGAUACUGCUUCAC
rnacentral:lncRNA from 1 species